GCAGGAACGGUGGAAUGUGCCUGUAAUCCCUGCUACUGGGGACGCUGAGAGUACUGAACUGCUGGAGCUUGGGAGUUCUGAGCUGCAGUGGCCUAAGCUGAAUAGGUGUCUACACUAAGUUCAACACAACUAUGGGGGAGCCCCUGAGAGCAGGAGGCCAAGAGGUUGUAUAAAGAGGUCAGAAAUGAUCUGGUCAGAAAUGGAGCAGGUCAAAGGUUCUGUGCCAAUCACUAGUGGGCCCAAGAGAGGCCACUGUACUUUCCAGCCUAAUUGAGUCAGGGAGACUGGUCUUCCU
rnacentral:SRP_RNA from 1 species